GCUCCUACGGGGCGCAGCAGUGGGGAAUAUUGCACAAUGGGGGGAACCCUGAUGCAGCGACGCCGCGUGAGUGAAGAAGUAUUUCGGUAUGUAAAGCUCUAUCAGCAGGGAAGAAAAUGACGGUACCUGACUAAGAAGCCCCGGCUAACUACGUGCCAGCAGCCGCGGUAAUACGUAGGGGGCAAGCGUUAUCCGGAUUUACUGGGUGUAAAGGGCGUGUAGCCGGGCUGACAAGUCAGAUGUGAAAUCCGGGGACUCAACCCCCGAACUGCAUUUGAAACUGUUGGUCUUGAGUAUCGGAGAGG
rnacentral:rRNA from 1 species